UGAGGAAUAUUGCGCAAUGGGCGAAAGCCUGACGCAGCGACGCCGCGUGGAGGAUGAAGGUUUUCGGAUUGUAAACUCCUGUUAAGUGGGAAGAAACGACAAAAUAUAAUACAUUUUGUAACUGACGGUACCAUUAAAGAAAGCACCGGCUAACUUCGUGCCAGCAGCCGCGGUAAUACGAGGGGUGCAAGCGUUAUUCGGAAUUAUUGGGCGUAAAGGGUGCGUAGGCGGCGUAUUAAGUCAACUGUUAAAACCUCCAGCCUAACUGGAGAUCAGCAGUAGAUACUGGUAUGCUAGAGGAUGGAAGAGAGAAGUGGAAUUCUUGGAGUAGCGGUGGAAUGCGUAGAUCUCAAGAGGAACACCAAUGGCGAAGGCAGCUUCUUGGUCCAUAUCUGACGCUGAUGCACGAAAGCGUGGGGAGCAAAACAGGAUUAGAUACCCUGGUAGUCCACGCCGUAAACGAUGAUCACUAGAUGUUAAUUCUGCUUGCAGAAUUAGUGUCGUAGCUAACGCGAUAAGUGAUCCGCCUGGGGGACUACGGUCGCAAGAUUAAAACUCAAAUGAAUUGACGGGGUCAUAGCUGUUUCCUG
rnacentral:rRNA from 1 species